rnacentral:lncRNA from 1 species
CUUAGUGGCCUGAACGAGGGGACGAUAUUCAAGGAAGUGACUGGGUUGCCCCACAUUCUGCGACGAGGUAGUAAGCCAUACAUAUCCAUCUGCCCCUGAAGCUGCACGACAUUAAAGCAAGUUAAUUCCUUACACAAUUCGUCGAAAAAUAAAUAAAGAUUUCAACAUAAUCUUAUCUAUUUACGCGUCUAUUGUCAACAGUUUGAAACCCGACCUGUAAUGUAGGACAGUUUCUUGUAAACAUCACGGUUAUUGCAUAAACUAAGAAUAAAGCAUGCGAGACUGGGUAUCUCCAUUGUCAGUAUGCUCCACAUUGGUCAACUCUUGUCUCUAUAUGGACUACAAGUCUACAACCCCACUUUUUAAAACUUAUUCAUGGCUCCCACUUAAAUUGAACCUGUUUACACGAUGAGGCAUCAUUCUUGAACAGAGUAAAUAGCAUAAAACUACUACUUUACAGGCUAGGGUUUCAAAAAACUACCGGAUUUUUCUUUUUCGCUGAUAACUACCAACUCAAAGGUCGGCUGUUUCAAAAAACCCAAAUCAUCCGCGGCUUUACAAUUGAUCACGAUUAUGACAGUUAGGGCCCGCAUGUAAGAGAACGGAUUGAUUGACCGUUAACUGACAUGUGGGGUUCACAUGUCAGUGUCUCUUUCUCAUUUUUUCAGGAUAACCCUUGUGAGUUUUUUUUAAAAAGCAAUUGGGUCCCUGUAUGUUUUUGAAAAAAAGCAAUCGGGUCCCUAAGAAGCUGCGCAACCCGCCCCGAGCAACGGCGCCGGCGGCUCACCGCCGGCCAGGUCGCGGCCCAGGCCGAAGAAGCCGUGCGGCCGAAUGCUGCUGCUGCUCCUUGCUGGCCCCGCCCUGAGCAACAGCGCCGACGGCUCGCCGGCGGCCAGGACGCGGCCCUGGCCGAAGAAGCCGCGCGGGCAAACGGUGUUGCUGCUCCUUGCCGGCCUCACCUUGAGCAACGGCGCCAGCGGCCAGGUCGCAGGCCAGGCCGAAGAAUCCGCGCGGCCGAACGCUGUUGCUGCUCCUUGCCGGCCCCAUGGUGGCGGAGGCGGCCGGCGAAUGGGCCAGCCCACGCGUUGGCCAUGCACAGGACCUUGGAUACCCGCGCGGCGGCUCCUGUGCCCGACGAGGUAGUCGCUGUUGUGGCUCCUGUACCCGACGAGGAGGGGCUCGAGCUGCUCUGGCUGGUGGUGGUGGCGGCGGCCUGCACACAAGCCCUCCAUGGCGGCGACGACCACGGGCAGAGCCCCAUGGAGGCGCAACGGCGACCACGGGCAGAGCCCUUUGGAGGCGCGGCGGCAGCAGUUCAAGGACCUGAUUGCUUUUUUAAAAUGAUUCCAGGGACCCCAUUGCUUUUUCAAAAUAUUUGUAGGGGCUAAUCUGUAAAAAAUUGUGAAUGAGGUGCUGACAUGUGGCCCCAACAAGUCAGUUAACGGUCAAACGAACGGUCAACCAAACGGUGCAUUUAGUGACGGGCCCGACCUGUCAUAAACAUGUUUAAUUUUUUAACAAAGAGGAUUUGGGGUUUUUUGAAACAGCCAACCCCUGACUUGGUAGUUAUCAGCGAGAAAAAUAAAUUCGAUAGUUUUUUGAAACCUUAACCCAUAAAGUAGUAGUUUUAUGCUAUUUACUCUUCUUGAACACCACAAAUUCCAGUUGAAUCAAACUAAAAACACAUAAGUACAAAUCACAUAGUUAGUACCUACCAGAAAUCCAUACAAGAUUGUCAAACAAUAAUACAAUAGCAAAAGUCCAUGCUCGGAGUUACAUCAGCAAGGGAGUGUGCCACUUCAAGGAUAUUCAUGAUCUGAUCAUAUAAAAUCUAGUACUCAUGUUAUACGAUGGCAUACCUCAGGUGGAGCACGGGCGGCCAGCGUUGAAAUCCUACUUUCCUUUUCUGAAAAAUAUUUUCUCUGCAAUUGGAAGUGAGACACAUAAAGCAAACAAUUGUAAGGAAAAGGGACCAUGGAAUCAAUAAGGAGCUAGACGGUUCCAUGAUUUAUACUGAACACAUUAAUUAUAUGUGUAUUGAGUAAUUUUUGCAAUAGAGCACAAAAGAGAAUCUGAUCAAGGGAAAGUUUAGAGAAGAGAUAACAAGUAGUUGGCUCAGUUCAUAAUUUUCAAACAUACAGAUCAUCUUCUAUUUAUUUUCUUUGGGAAUGCAGAUCAUCUUCUAUCUACUGUAUUAGUACUAAAUAGCAGAAAAAUGAGCAGCAGUAGCAAUAGCAGUCAUCGACAAAAGCAAUAGCAGACAACGGUGGUAGCAAACAAUCAGCGUCACGAAGGGUUGUAAUAUCCAUCAGCACGCGCACACAUCACAGGCACAUGCACGCGAGCCAGGAAUCGGAACAGGACCAGGACGGGCACCAAAAUAAAUACAAAAGGAGCCACAUCGCCGCCGAAGGCUUUGCGAGCCGCAAGAACCACCAACACAGGCGGGAUCCCAUUGGUAAUUGAGGAAUACGGUCGGGGCUCCAGCCCGAGCUCCUCCUACCUCGAACCUGCCUCCACUGCCAGCCAGCACCGAGAGAAGGGAGCAGCAC